rnacentral:rRNA from 1 species
GGACGAACGCUGGCGGCGUGCUUAACACAUGCAAGUCGAACGGGAGUAUUGAAGAAGCUUGCUUUAGAGAUACUUUAGUGGCGGACGGGUGAGUAACGCGUGAGGAGCUGUCCAAUGCAGGGGGACAACAGUUGGAAACGACUGCUAAUACCCCAUAAGCCGAGAGGUAAAAGGAUUUAUCCGGCAAUGGAGGUACUCGCGUCCUAUCAGCUAGUAGGUGAGGUAACGGCUCACCUAGGCGAAGACGGGUAGCCGGACUGAGAGGUCGAACGGCCACAUUGGGACUGAGAUACGGCCCAGACUCCUACGGGAGGCAGCAGUGGGGAAUAUUGGGCAAUGGGCGAAAGCCUGACCCAGCAACGCCGCGUGAAGGAAGAAGGUCUUCGGAUUGUAAACUUCUUUUAUGAGGGACGAACAAAAUGACGGUACCUCAUGAAUAAGCCACGGCUAACUACGUGCCAGCAGCCGCGGUAAUACGUAGGUGGCAAGCGUUAUCCGGAUUUACUGGGUGUAAAGGGCGCGUAGGCGGGGAUGCAAGUCAGAUGUGAAAUCUAUGGGCUUAACCCAUAAANUGCAUUUGAAACUGUGUCUCUUGAGUGUCGGAGAGGUAGAUGGAAUUCCUUGUGUAGCGGUGAAAUGCGUNNNNNUAAGGAAGAACACCAGUGGCGAAGGCGAUCUACUGGACGAUAACUGACGCUGAGGCGCGAAAGCGUGGGGAGCAAACAGGAUUAGAUACNNNGGUAGUCCACGCUGUAAACGAUGAAUACUAGGUGUGGGGGGACUGACCCCUUCCGUGCCGCAGUUAACACAAUAAGUAUUCCACCUGGGGAGUACGGCCGCAAGGUUGAAACUCAAAGGAAUUGACGGGGGCCCGCACAAGCAGUGGAUUAUGUGGUUUAAUUCGAAGCAACGCGAAGAACCUUACCAGGGCUUGACAUCCAACUAACGAAGCAGAGAUGCAUUAGGUGCCCUUCGGGGAAAGUUGAGACAGGUGGUGCAUGGUUGUCGUCAGCUCGUGUCGUGAGAUGUUGGGUUAAGUCCCGCAACGAGCGCAACCCCCAUUGUUAGUUGCUACGCAAGAGCACUCUAGCGAGACUGCCGUUGACAAAACGGAGGAAGGUGGGGACGACGUCAAAUCAUCAUGCCCCUUAUGUCCUGGGCUACACACGUAAUACAAUGGCGUCUAACAAAGGGAAGCGAGACCGCGAGGUCGAGCAAAUCUCAAAAAGACGUCUCAGUUCGGAUUGCAGGCUGCAACUCGCCUGCAUGAAGUCGGAAUUGCUAGUAAUCGCGGAUCAGCAUGCCGCGGUGAAUACGUUCCCGGGCCU